GAUGAACGCUGGCGGCGUGCCUAAUACAUGCAAGUCGAGCGAACAGACGAGGAGCUUGCUCCUCUGAUGUUAGCGGCGGACGGGUGAGUAACACGUGGAUAACCUACCUAUAAGACUGGGAUAACUUCGGGAAACCGGAGCUAAUACCGGAUAACAUGUUGAACCGCAUGGUUCAACAGUGAAAGACGGUCUUGCUGUCACUUAUAGAUGGAUCCGCGCCGCAUUAGCUAGUUGGUAAGGUAACGGCUUACCAAGGCAACGAUGCGUAGCCGACCUGAGAGGGUGAUCGGCCACACUGGAACUGAGACACGGUCCAGACUCCUACGGGAGGCAGCAGUAGGGAAUCUUCCGCAAUGGGCGAAAGCCUGACGGAGCAACGCCGCGUGAGUGAAGAAGGUCUUCAGAUCGUAAAACUCUGUUAUUAGGGAAGAACAAAUGUGUAAGUAACUAUGCACGUCUUGACGGUACCUAAUCAGAAAGCCACGGCUAACUACGUG
rnacentral:rRNA from 1 species